UGGAGCCGGUCUCUACCCUUUUGCAACUCAAAAGCUUGUUGAAGGAAGAUUUAUAACUGAACUGUAUGAGAAGAAAAGCUGAGGGUGCCAUACACUAGGAGUCCUGAACUUCCUCUAGAAAGUCAGGGACAAUCUUGUUAAAAAGGGCCAUUUGAGCUCAGACCUGGAAGACAAGGCCAAGAAAGGGCAAAGGAGGAGAAUUCCAGGUCAGAGGGAUGAGCAUAUAUGAAGGCCCAGAGGUCAGAGUAGAAGAAGGCACAGAAAGGGAGGCAGAGUGGGGUAAGAGAUGGGGCCAGGAAGAAAGGAAGUCUGCUGGAUCCUACAGAGCUUUGUUGGGGCAUUACAGGAUUUUGGAUUUAUUUGGUAGAUGAGAAAGCUAUUAAAGGGAAUUAAGAUGGAGAGUGACAGGAUCAGUUUUGAGUUUUAAGAAGAUCAUUGUAGAAAGGACUGGAGAUUGGGGGAGGUGGGAUGAGAUUAGAGGCUGAGCCGGGUUGUGGAGAAAUCGCCUGGGUGGGUCUAGCCGCAAGGAAACUGGAGAGAAGUACAGGGACUUUGCUCUGUAACAGCUCACGGCAGAAUUGGGACUCAGGUUUUUGAUACUGUUCUUGGAAUCAAAUAUGCAGACUCUAUAAUUUUUGAAUGGUCUCAAGCUUUGCACCAACCCUGAUGAAUAUAUAGCCAAAUAUUAAAUAGUUGUGAAUUGAUUAAGCAUAAAUUAAUCUGCAUUUAAAUUGAGAUUCACUUCAGACAACAGACUAAUGGCUACCCGUUUUACUCUGGGCAGGAGCAAGACAUUUCAUUUCUUUUAAUAAUCCCUAGUGACAAUAGGUUGGCAAAGCAGUUACAGUGGAUGCAUAUUGAAAAGAUCGUUUUGUAGUGUGGGACCCAGGGUGAAUGCAAUGCGGCUUUCGUGGUGUGGCAGAUUCUUGGUGGCCCAGAUGCACAAACAGCCCCACGGAAAGUGAUGGCUCAGGCCUUGUCUUUCCCUCCAAGGCUUAGCCUAGAAGCACUCCUGGUGCUUUCCCCUUGCACCCCUGCCUGGCGGAGAGUUCGGAGCAGUCUGGUUUACAUGGAGGAAAAGCUAGGGCUCAGUGGGGUGAGGGGAUAGGUCCCUGAGCACACAGCCCAGGACCAGGAUUUGGCCCUCAUCCCCAGCUCAGCAUUGUCUCCCAGGAUGAAAAAGGCUUUAGCCAUGUGGUCAGCAUGUACACACAUCAGGAGUAGCCUUUCCCAGAUCUUGCUGCCAGCUGUGAGGUGAUUAACCCUGAUAAACAGAGCCUCCUCCUUCU